rnacentral:rRNA from 1 species
UACGAAGGGGGCGAGCGUUGUUCGGAUUUACUGGGCGUAAAGGGCGCGCAGGCGGUCCUGUUUGUCGAGUGUGAAAGCCCCGGGCUCAACCUGGGAAUUGCAUUCGAGACUGAAUAGCUAGGGUACGGUAGAGGGAAGUGGAAUUUCCGGUGUAGCGGUGAAAUGCGUAGAUAUCGGAAGGAACAUCAGUGGCGAAAGCGACUUCCUGGACCAGUACCGACGUUCAGGCACGAAAGCGUGGGGAGCAAACAGG